UUGAACUCAUAACUGGAAGAGUAGAAUGAAGGAGUAACGCCCCGAAAUGCUCUCUCUAAUAGUCCCCACAUGCAUGAGAGGUCGAAUACUCGAUUGUAUGAAGCUGGGUAAGGCAGGUUGAAGGUUGCCCUAACAGAGAAGCUAUGACUCAAGUAGGGAUGCUGAGGAAAAACAUAUAGAGGUAUAUGUUGUAACUGAUAGACCUAGAGGCUAUAAA
rfam:Clostridium aceticum strain DSM 1496, complete genome.